rnacentral:rRNA from 1 species
CCUACGGGAGGCAGCAGUGGGGGAUAUUGCACAAUGGGGGGAACCCUGAUGCAGCGACGCCGCGUGGGUGAAGGAGUGCUUCGGCAUGUAAAGCCCUAUCGGCAGGGAAGAAGCAAGACGGUACCUGACUAGGAGGCCCCGUCUAACUACGUGCCACCAGCCGCGGUAAUACGGAGGGGGCGAGCGUUAUCCGGAUGCACUGGGUGUAAAGGGGGCGUAGACGGCCAAGCAAGCCCGGGGGGAAGGCCCGGGGCCCAACCCGGGAACUGCCCUUGGAACUGUGGGGCUGGAGUUCAGGCGGGGAAGCCGGAAUUCCUGGUGUAGCGGGGAAAUGCGUAGAUAUCAGGAGGAA